UACAGAGGUCUCAAGCGUUGUUCGGAUUCAUUGGGCGUAAAGGGUGCGUAGGUGGCGCCAUAAGUCGGGUGUGAAAUCUCGGGGCUUAACUCCGAAACUGCAUUCGAUACUGUGGUGCUUGAGGACUGGAGAGGAGACUGGAAUUCAUGGUGUAGCAGUGAAAUGCGUAGAGAUCAUGAGGAAGACCAGUGGCGAAGGCGGGUCUCUGGACAAUUCCUGACACUGAGGCACGAAGGCCAGGGGAGCAAACAGG
rnacentral:rRNA from 1 species